rnacentral:tRNA from 1 species
GAGGUUGUAGCUCAGCUGGAUAGAGCAGCAGAUUGCGGAUCUGCAGGUCGGAAGUUCGAAUCUUCUCAGCCUCA